UACGUAGGGUGCAAGCGUUGUCCGGAAUUAUUGGGCGUAAAGAGCUCGUAGGCGGUUUGUUGCGUCGGCUGUGAAAUCCCGAGGCUCAACCUCGGGUCUGCAGUCGAUACGAGCAAACUAGAGUGUUGCAGGGGAGACUGGAAUUCCUGGUGUAGCGGUGAAAUGCGCAGAUAUCAGGAGGAACACCGAUGGCGAAGGCAGGUCUCUGGGCAUUAACUGACGUGAGGAAGCGAAAGCCGUGGGGGAGCAAACAGG
rnacentral:rRNA from 1 species